GUGGGGAAUCUUCCACAAUGGACGAAAGUCUGAUGGAGCAACGCCGCGUGAGUGAAGAAGGGUUUCGGCUCGUAAAGCUCUGUUGUCGGGGACGAAUGUGCAGUAUUUGAAUAAAGUACUGCAAUGACGGUACCUGACGAGGAAGCCACGGCUAACUACGUGCCAGCAGCCGCGGUAAUACGUAGGUGGCAAGCGUUGUCCGGAAUUAUUGGGCGUAAAGGGAGCGCAGGCGGGAAGGUAAGUCGGUCUUAAAAGUGCGGGGCUCAACCCCGUGAUGGGAUCGAAACUAUCUUUCUUGAGUGCAGGAGAGGAAAGUGGAAUUCCUAGUGUAGCGGUGAAAUGCGUAGAUAUUAGGAAGAACACCGGUGGCGAAGGCGACUUGCUGGCCAGCAACUGACGCUGAGGCGCGAAAGCCAGGGGAGCAAACGGGAUUAGAAACCCGUGUAGUCC
rnacentral:rRNA from 1 species